rnacentral:lncRNA from 1 species
AUAAGUGGUCCCCAGCACUGCAGAUCCGAACAGUUCUGCUAUCAAUCCAGGCUUUGUUAAGUGCUCCUAAUCCAGAUGAUCCAUUAGCAAAUGAUGUAGCUGAGCAGUGGAAGAGCAACGAAGCCCAAGCCAUAGAGANACAGCAAGAGCAUGGACUAGGCUAUAUGCCAUGAACAAUAUUUAAGUCGAUCAGAUCAUCAAGUGUACACCACUUCUCCUGUUCUGCCAAGACUUCUUCCUUUUUUUGUUUGCAUUUAAUGGACACAGUCUUAGAAACAUUACAGAAUAAAAGCCCAGGCAUCUUCAUCUUUGGUGAUCACA